rnacentral:lncRNA from 10 species
GGAAUACGAAGGGAGAAUGAAACAAAACUGCUCCGCUUAGGGAACUUGGAAAGGAAAUUGAAAAGGCAAGGCACAGGCUGGAAGAAAAUAUUUGAAAAAGAUUUAUGUGAACUUCUUUCUGGAUUAUACAAAAUAUUUUUAGAUAUUCUUACAACUCUAAAAUAAGAUAACUCCUUAAAAAUCUAAAUUCUACCAAAGGAGAGAUAAAGAUGACGAAUACAUUCAAAGAUGCUGAAAAUCACUUAUUUAUUAUUAGGAAGUUACAAGCUAAAGCAUAAUGAGAUACCACUACAACCUACUAAACUGACUAAAAUUAAUCAGACUAACCAGGUGUUGGCAAGAAACAGGGACACUGAGACUCUCACACUGCUGGAAGGAAUGUAAAAUGCUAAAACUUCUUUGGAAAUGAGUUCAGUAACUUUUUAAACAGUUGAAAAUAGACCUAUCAUGCAAACCAGCAAUCCCACUUCCAGGUAUUUAUACAAGGAAAAUGACAACAUAUGCCCACAUAAAGACUUGUGCACAAAUGACCGUAGCAGCUUUGUGAUAAUUGCUAAAAACUAGAAACUUGUCAAGUGUCCAACAGUUGACAUGCAGGCUGGACAUACAGUGGGCCUCGAUUGCUUAGAAGCCAAACUGAACUCACCAAGAAAAGAAGACAGGAGAAACUUCUCAAGAGGAAUAUCUCCAAAUUGCAGGAUCGAAUACCAUAAGAGGAAUUCUGGACUGAAGAGUUAUGAAGUCAUUUCAGACACUUCCAGACAAUUUGUGUUAAUUAAAUUCUCACUGGUUGAGUUCCAUUCUACACUGGAAGAGCAUUUUUCCUGGAAAGGCUCCUCAAAAUGGACACCAUCAAGAGUCACCUCCUCAGUGAAGCCUUCCAUGGUUUCAUACCACCCAUCCCUAUCGGAAUGAAUGUAUCCUUGUUCUCCGUUAUCCCAGUAUUUUGCCUGGGCUUCUGUCACACUACUUUCAAUGUCUAUACCUCAGUUAUCGAAUCGAAAAACAAGAGUCAUCAGUCUCUAAGGUCCUUGCAAGCUUCAAAACUUUAUAUUUUUGUCAAUUACAACUGAAUAAAGCUGAACAACUUAUUAUUUAUG